rnacentral:rRNA from 1 species
AACGAACGCUGGCGGCAGGCUUAACACAUGCAAGUCGAGCGCUCACUUCGGUGGGAGCGGCAGACGGGUGAGUAACGCGUGGGAACCUACCUAGUAGUGCGGAAUAGCUCCUGGAAACGGGAAUUAAUACCGCAUACGCCCUUUGGGGGAAAGAUUUAUCGCUAUUAGAUGGGCCCGCGUUGGAUUAGUUAGUUGGUGGGGUAAUGGCCUACCAAGACGACGAUCUAUAGCUGGUCUGAGAGGAUGAUCAGCCACACUGGGACUGAGACACGGCCCAG